rnacentral:rRNA from 1 species
UACGGAAGGGGCAAGCGUUGUUCGGAAUCAUUGGGCGUAAAGGGCGCGUAGGUGGUUCUGUAUGUCUACCGUGAAAGCGUACGGCUCAACCGUAUUUUGUCGGUAGAAACUGCAGGACUUGAGGCUGGGAGGGGCUGGUGGAAUUCCCUGUGUAGCGGUGAAAUGCGUAGAGAUGGGGGAGAACACUCGUGGCGAAGGCGGCCAGCUAGACCAGUUCUGACACUGAGGCGCGACAGCGUGAGGAGCAAACAGG